rnacentral:rRNA from 1 species
UACGUAGGCAGCAAGCGUUGUUCGGAGUUACUGGGCGUAAAGGGUGCGUAGGCGGCUUCUUAAGUCUGGUGUGAAAUCUCCCGGCUCAACUGGGAGGGUGCGCCGGAUACUGGAGGGGCUAGAGUGUGGGAGAGGAAAGUGGAAUUCCUGGUGUAGCGGUGAAAUGCGUAGAUAUCAGGAGGAACACCGGUGGUGUAAACGGCUUCUGGACCAUAACUGACGCUGAGGCACGAAAGCGGUGGGUAGCAAACAGGG